AGAGUUUGAUCCUGGCUCAGGAUAAACGCUGGCGGCGUGCCUAACACAUGCAAGUCGAACGCGCUCUUUCUCGUGAGGGAGGGAGCGAGUGGCGGACGGGUGAGUAAGACAUGGGUACCUGCCUUUCAGUGGGGGAUACCGGCGAGAAAUCGCCGACAAGCCCGCAUAGGCUCGUCCUGGUAAGAAGGGGUGAGCAAAGC
rnacentral:rRNA from 1 species